AUGGUAGGAUAGAGGCCUACCAUGGUGGUAACGGGUAACGGGGUGUUAGGGCACGACACCGGAGAGGGAGCCUGAGAAACGGCUACCACAUCCAAGGAAGGCAGCAGGCGCGCAAAUUACCCAAUCCCGACACGGGGAGGUAGUGACAAUAAAUAACAAUACGGGGUUCUUUGAAUCUUGUAAUUGGAAUGAGUACAAUUUAAAUCUCUUAACGAGGAACAAUUGGAGGGCAAGUCUGGUGCCGGCAGCCGCGGUAAUUCCAGCUCCAAUAGCGUAUAUUAAAGUUGUUGCAGUUAAAAAGCUCGUAGUUGAAUUUCGGGAUCAAUACGUCGGUCGUGCUUUCGGGUACGUACUGGCGUCAUUGGUUUCUCCUUUCUGACGAACCAUGAUGUCAUUAAUUUGGUGUUAUGGGGAGUUAGGACUGUUACUUUGAAAAAAUUAGAGUGUUUAAAGCAGGCAUUAGCUUGAAUACAUUAGCAUGGAAUAAUGAAAUAGGACGUUCGAUCCUAUUUUGUUGGUUUCUAGGAUCAACGUAAUGACUAAUAGGGAUAGUUGGGGGCAUUAGUAUUCAAUUGUCAGAGGUGAAAUUCUUGGAUUUAUUGAAGACUAACUACUGCGAAAGCAUUUGCCAAGGAUGUUUUCAUUAAUCAAGAACGAAAGUUAGGGGAUCGAAGACGAUCAGAUACCGUCGUAGUCUUAACCAUAAACUAUGCCAACUAGGGAUCGGAUGAUGUUAAUUUUUUAAUGACUCAUUCGGCGCCUUACGGGAAACCAAAGUGUUUGGG
rnacentral:rRNA from 1 species